rnacentral:rRNA from 1 species
CAGUAGCCACGGUAAUACGAAGGGUGCAAGCGUUAAUCGGAAUUACUGGGCGUAAAGCGUGCGUAGGCGGUGAGUUAAGUCUGCUGUGAAAUCCCCGGGCUCAACCUGGGAAUGGCAGUGGAUACUGGCUCGCUAGAGUGUGUCAGAGGAUGGUGGAAUUCCCGGUGUAGCGGUGAAAUGCGUAGAGACCGGGAGGAACAUCAGUGGCGAAGGCGGCCAUCUGGGACAACACUGACGCUGAGGCACGAAAGCGUGGGGAGCAAACGGGAUUAGAUACCCCUGUAGUCCCUGUCUCUUAUAA